UGAGCAUUUGGUUAUGACGGGUGGGC
rnacentral:piRNA from 1 species